rnacentral:rRNA from 2 species
GAGUUUGAUCAUGGCUCAGAUUGAACGCUGGCGGUAUGCUUAAGACAUGCAAGUCGUGCGGUAGAAGGCUUCGGCCUUUGAGAGCGGCGGACGGGUGAGUAACACGUGGGAAUCUACCUAUUAGUGGGGGACAGCCCAGCGAAAGCUGGAUUAAUACCGCAUACGCCCUACGGGGGAAAGCAGCAAUGCGCUAAUAGAUGAGCCCGCGUAUGAUUAGCUAGUUGGUAAGGUAAAGGCUUACCAAGGCGACGAUCUUUAGCUGGUCUGAGAGGAUGGCCAGCCACAUCGGGACUGAGACACGGCCCGGACUCCUACGGGAGGCAGCAGUCGGGAAUAUUGGACAAUGGGCGCAAGCCUGAUCCAGCAAUACCGCGUGUGUGAAGAAGGCCUGCGGGUUGUAAAGCACUUUCAGUUGGGAAGAUAAUGACGUUACCAACAGAAGAAGCACCGGCUAACUCCGUGCCAGCAGCCGCGGUAAUACGGAGGGUGCAAGCGUUAAUCGGAAUUACUGGGCGUAAAGCGUGCGUACGCGGCCUGUUAAGUUCAGAUUGCGAAAGCCCCGGGCUUAACCUGGGAACUGCAUCUGAUACUGGGAGGCUAGAAUGUGGGAGAGGAGAGUGGAAUUUCCGGUGUAGCGGUUGAAAUUGCAUACCAGAUCGGAAGGAACACCAGUUGGCGAACGGCCGGCUCUUCUGGACCAAAUUGGACCCUGAGGCCCGAAAGCGUGGGUAGCAAACAGGAUUUAGAUAUCCCUGGGUAUUCCCACCGCCUUUAAAACGAAGUCAACUAGCAGCCGGAGUCACUCUAGAGGUCGGUGGGUGCUGCUAACGCAUUAAAGUUGUCCGCUUGGGGAGUCGGAGGGCAAGGUUAAAAAUCAAAGGAAUUGACCGGGGGCCCCGCGCAAGCGGUGGAGCAUGUGGUUUAAUUCGAUGCAACGCGAAGAAACCUUACCAGGUCUUGACAUGUAGUGAACUUAGCAGGAAUGUUUUGGUGCCUUAGGAGAACACUAACACAGGUGCUGCACGGCUGUCGUCAGCUCGUGUCGUGAGAUGUUGGGUUAAGUCCCGCAACGAGCGCAACCCCUGUCCGUAGUUGCCAGCACGUAAUGGUGGGAACUCUAGGGAGACUGCCGGUGACAAACCGGAGGAAGGUGGGGAUAGACGUCAAGUCAUCAUGGCCCUUAUGACCAGGACUACACACGUGCUACAAUAGGCAGUACAGAGGGAAGCAAAAUCGCGAGAUCAAGCAAAUCCCAGAAAGCUGUCCGUAGUCCGGAUCGGAGUCUGCAACUCGACUCCGUGAAGUCGGAAUCGCUAGUAAUCGCGAAUCAGCAUGUCGCGGUGAAUACGUUCCCGGGCCUUGUACACACCGCCCGUCACACCAUGGGAGUUUGUUGCACCAGAAGCAGGUAGUCUAACCGAAAGGAGGGCGCUUGCCACGGUGUGGCCGAUGACUGGGGUGAAGUCGUAACAAGGUAGCCG